rnacentral:rRNA from 1 species
GAUGAACGCUGGCGGCGUGCUUAACACAUGCAAGUCGAACGGAGAUGUUUCGCUGAAGCGAGCUUGCUCAAUUCUUGAGACAUCUUAGUGGCGGACGGGUGAGUAACGCGUGGGUAACCUGCCAUAUACAGGGGGAUAACACUUAGAAAUAGGUGCUAAUACCGCAUAAGCGCACGGUGUCGCAUGACACAGUGUGAAAAACUCCGGUGGUAUAUGAUGGACCCGCGUCUGAUUAGCUAGUUGGUAGGGUAGAGGCCUACCAAGGCGACGAUCGGUAGCCGGCCUGAGAGGGUGAUCGGCCACAUUGGGACUGAGAUACGGCCCAGACUCCUACGGGAGGCAGCAGUAGGGAAUAUUGCACAAUGGGGGGAACCCUGAUGCAGCAACGCCACGUGUGGGAAGAAGCAUUUCGGUGUGUAAACCACUGUCGGAAGGGAAUAAUAAUAAGAUUACGUCUUUUUUUGAAUGUACCUUUAGAGAAGCACCGG